rnacentral:rRNA from 1 species
AUUGAACGCUGGCGGCAUGCCUUACACAUGCAAGUCGAACGGCAGCACGGGAGCAAUCCUGGUGGCGAGUGGCGAACGGGUGAGUAAUAUAUCGGAACGUGCCCAGUCGUGGGGGAUAACGCAGCGAAAGCUGUGCUAAUACCGCAUACGAUCUAUGGAUGAAAGCGGGGGAUCGCAAGACCUCGCGCGAUUGGAGCGGCCGAUAUCAGAUUAGCUAGUUGGUGGGGUAAAGGCCCACCAAGGCGACGAUCUGUAGCUGGUCUGAGAGGACGACCAGCCACACUGGAACUGAGACACGGUCCAGACUCCUACGGGAGGCAGCAGUGGGGAAUUUUGGACAAUGGGCGCAAGCCUGAUCCAGCAAUGCCGCGUGCAGGAUGAAGGCC